GGUGAGAUGGCCGAGUUGGUUAUGGCGUAAGAUUAAGGUGUGCAUUAGUCUUAUUUCUUAUGGAGCAAUCCGCCUGGGUUCGAGUCCCAGUCUCAUCA